AGUGAUACUUGUUAAGGUAUGGGAGUUAAGAUCAUCUUUAAGUGAUACUUGUUAUGGUAUGGGAGUUAAGAUCAUCUUUAAGUGAUACGUGUUAAGGUAUGGGAGUUACAAUCAUCUUUACGUGAUACUUGUUAAGGUGUGGGAGAUACGAUCAUCUCUAAGUGAUACUUGUUAAGGUAUGGGAGUUACGGUCAUCUUUAAGUGAUACUUGUUAAAGUAUGGGAGUUAAGAUCAUCUUUAAGUGAUACUUGUUAAGGUAUGGGAGUUACGAUCAUCUUUAAGUGAUACUUGUUAAGGUAUGGGAGUUACGAUCAUAUUUAAGCGAUACUUGUUAAGGUAUGGGAGUUACGAUCAUCUUUUAGUGAUACUUGCUAUGGUGUGGGUGUUAAAUCUUCUUAGUCAUACAACAUUUUUUGAAGUUUUGGAGUUACGAUCAUGUCAGUGAUACAACUCGUGUUAUGGUAUGGGUGUUAUGACCAUCUUAGUGAUAUGACAUUCGUAUGUCUGUGUUAAGGUAUGGGAGUUAUAAUCAUGUUAGUGAUACAACUUUUGUUAAGGUAGGGGAGAUAUGUUCAUCUUCGUGAUAUGACUCUUGUAGAGGUAUAGGAGUGACUAUCAUCUUAGUGUUACUACUCUUGUAUGUCUGUGUAAGGUAUGGAAGUUACGAUCAUCUAAGUGAUACUACUCUUGUUCAAUUAUGGGAGUUAUGACCAUCUUAGUGCUAUUAUUCUUGUGUGUCUGCGUUAAGGUGUGGGAGUUACGCUAAUAUUAGUAGUACUACUCUUGUUAAGGUAUGGGAGUUACGACCAUAUUAGUGUUACUACUCUUGUGUGUAUGUGUUAAAGUAUGGGAGUUCUGGUCAUCUUAGUGAUACGACUCUUGUUAAGUCUGUGUGAAGGUGUGGGAGUUACGCUCAUCUUAGUAGUACUACCUUGUUAAGGUAUGGGAGUUCUGACCAUUUUAGUGUUACUACUCUUGUGUGCAUGUGUUAAGGUAUGGGAGUUACUGUCACCUUAGUGAUACAACUCUUGUUAAAUCUGUGUUAAGGUAUGGGAGUUACGAUCAUCUUACUGAUGUGACCCUUUUAAGAUAUGGGAGUUAAUAUCAUCUUAGCACUGUGACAGUCUUAAGUCUGUGUUAAGAAUGGGAGUUAUGAUCAUCUCUGGUAAAUCACUCUUAGUCAGGUACAGGAGUUAAUAUCAUCUUAGCACUGUGACUGUCUGAAGUUCAUAUUAAGUCCUGGAAGUUAUAAAUGUAGUAGUCCUACAACUAUCCUAAAUCUCUUAGUGUCUUAGCGCUAAGAUCACUUAGUGGGAGAGCUCCAAUUUUAUUACAACCUGCAUGUAUCAUGAUGAAUGUGUGAUUUUAUCACCUGCACAUAAACUGGCAAAAGAAACCGAGAUCAUUCUCAUUUAUUCGUAAAUAUAAAUUAUUAUAAUUAUACCAUGUUAACUGUAGCCAUGCAGAAUGAUCACUGUUCUGUGUACACAAGAUACUUAGGAAUUGGCAAUGUAAUAUUUGGAUUGUUAUGAAAAGAUUUACAAGUGUUUAGUUUUUGGUGAAGCUAUUUCUUUUUGAAAACACAUUUUUUAGGACAUUCAACAAGUGCAGAAAACAAUUUGUCAAAUAUUUUAGUAAAUAUAUUAUAAACAAACGGUUUUGUUUCACAUUAAUGUAAGUACACAAAAAUAGCUUGGCAGAAUGUGUAGUUAAAUUUAGAAAAUAUUCAAAUUUAUUAAUUUAAUUCAAUUUAAUUUGAGUUUAGAUGACGGUCAAUAUCUUAUUAUUAAUUACAUCUUGCCCUGCUGAAAAAUGUAUGAUCACCGUUCAGGAUUCUAGACUUUGUGUUAUGAGGUCUAGAAUCACACUACGAUAAAUAGCAUGAUCUUGGAUCCUUUUGCUUCUGAAUCUUCAUUGUGUUGGUGGGGUGGCCUAGUGGUUAAAGCGUUCGCUCGUCACGCCGAAGACCCGGGUUCGAUUCCCCACAUGGGUACAAUGUGUGAAGCCCAUUUCUGGUGUCCCCCGCUGUGAUAUUGCUGGUAUUACUAAAAGCGGCGUAAAACCAAACUCACUCACUCACUCAUUGUGUUGGUGAAACUGAAGGGGUGACGAUGAUGACCAAUAUUCUGUAACACCGAGUAUGUACAUUCAUACUCUCACAGCAUUUCCACUCGUUCCAUGAUUUAUUAUACAAGUGUUAUUUAUUGUGACCCCAGUGCAUUGUGUAGUACCUGUCUCGCUUGGGAUGGGGGCGGGUUUUGGGGGCAAGGGUUCCAUGUCAUCUAAUGCUCUACAGUUCUUCAGAGUUGUGUCCCUUUGAUGUGACAGAAUCCUAUGAUGUUUGGUUUGAGUUAAGGUCUGGCCUGGUUUGUCUGCAGUGUAGCCAUGGGUUUAAAAAUAGUGGUAAAUGUCAAAGAUCUGCAUCACCUUGGGGCUUCCUUCCAGAUAAAACUUGACAUGAUAUAAAUGACGUAAUAUGUACAGCAGCCAUUAUGGUUCUGGGACAGUGGGGUAGCCUGGUGGUUAAAGCGUUUGUUUGUCAUGCCAAGGAACUGGGUUUGAUUGUUGUCAUGGUUACAAUGUGUGAAGGCCUUGUCUGGUGUCCCCUGCUGUGAUAUUGCAGAAAUAUUGCUGAAAUGGGCGUAAACUAAACUCACUAAAUAGGAUCUGGCCAGUCAUUGAUAAUAUUCAGGACAUACAGGUAACCCAUGAACACAUCGCCAUAGAAACGCUGUUUAAUAUUGAGUUUCCCAUUGAGAAGAGAUUUACUCUGCGGAUAUUUUUCAAUAUUUUCAUAAGGUAUACAUAGUUGACCCAUGGAUUUAAACUGUCAACUUCCUUCAAUAAGCUAUAUCUAGGUAGAAAGCGUCGGUACCAACAUUCACGGGUGGUGGAGUAGUUAAGUGGUCAAAGUGUUCACCUGUCACGCCAACAACCUGGGUUCACUUCUCCACAUGGGUACAAUGUAAAGCCGAUUUGUGACUGUGGUAUUGCUGGAAUAGUGCUGAAUGCACAGUGAAACCAUAUUCACUCGCCCAACAAAACUUUACAAAAUUAUAAAAUAAUGAAGUUUAAAUUAACGGGUUAACUCUGUCUUCCUGGAUAAUACAGCUUCUAUAUGAUAUUAAAAAAAAUAUUUUUCUACUUGUUUACAAUCAAGUAACUGUAUAGACACUGUGUCCGGUUCAUUCCAACUGGAGCCACCAUGUGGCUGGGAUGGAUGGAAGAGUCCAUUGUCUGCCUUACCCAUGACUUUUAUAUGAUCUAUAUUUUGUCUUGUCUGUUCAUCAGCUUGAAGAGUCCAUUGUUUGCCUGGCCCAAGAAUUUUAAGAUGCUAUAUUUUGUCUUGGCUGUUCAUCAGACGGAAGAGUCCAUUGUCUGCCUGGCCCAUGACUUUUUAAGAUGCCAUAUUUUGUCGUGUGUGCUGUUACCCAUCUGUUGAGCGAGUUGUUGUAUAUUGAUGUUGGGAGAGAGGUUUCUGAGUGCUUCACACAGUUUUAUCAUUGUCAGAAUACAAUCACUGCUUUUUUAAUCUCUGGUCUAUCAAGAGUUUUGGGAACCUGCUCCACAAAAUAAUCACUACAUUCUGACUUCAGUUACCAUGGUGACAUGAAGUAACAUCAACUGAAAACAUGGCAGCAAGAGGUAAGACCUUGGCUGACCAUGGUAACACUAAGUUAAGUCCUCUGUAACCAUGGUAACACAUGUUCAUGCCAGCCAUCAGCUGUAUCGUUAAGAGUUGUGUUACCAUGGUGACAUUUAAGUUUCAUUGUUAAUCGUCAUGUAAAUGCAAAUUUAUGUGCCAUGGUACAAGGUAAACUUGGUGUAACCUCGAUAACAUUAAGUUAGGUUGUCUGUAACCAUGGUAACGGAAAUUUACACUAUAACACAAGGUUUUAAAAGUCGCUUUGUGGAGUAGAUUCUUGAAAUGCUCCUUUCUAUGCAAGUUCUUGUUAACGUUUUUACAUCAUGGCAUGCAAUUCUGCGAAGAAUUCAAUUAUUACUGAGUGUCAUGUAUCACCUGUACAAGAUCGUCACUAUAUGGCUGAAAUAUUGCCGAUGUGACGUUAAAUAUUAACUCACUCACUCACCUGUACAAGAACUGAUAACUGAUUUUUACUUGUCGUUUUACUCACAGGAUCAUUUGUUAAAUGAAGUUAGGGGAAUUGGUAAUUCCUGGAAGGAUUUCAAGACUUUUGGUUAUCCUUUGCAUUUCAUGCUUUUACUCAGCGGCAGUUUAAAUCGGAAGUAUUUCGAUUAGAUGUUCAUGAGGGCCUGACAGCUAUGACCAGGAAAUGUUCAACAAAGCGAUUUUAGUACUAAGGCGAUCGGGAGUUAAGAUGGACUUAGUGCUGAGGUUGCUUUGUGGAUAGAUUGAUUGUCUUUGCAGUGUUAGCAUGAAGUUACCCUGAAGGUCAAGAGGUCAUUUCCCUUUUGUUAAAGAGUAGGGUAUUUAGGUGCUCCCGUAUUCAAAUCCUAUUGCAGCAAACUGCGAACAUGAUCCCACUGAGUUUGCUUAAAAUAAAUUAUAUCGAUAUUUUCUUUUUAUCAAAUAUUGUAAUCAAUGCUCAUAACGUCGACCACUGAUUUGUUUGUUGGUCCCGUAACCAUUAUAGUGCUGGGUGUAUUUGUACUAUUGUUGACUCGAUCAACACAUUCAGCGGUGCAGUGUUUGCUUGCAGCACAAGUGGUCUGAGUUUGAAUCUCAAGGCGGGCUGAUGGGGAAGCUGCUCAUGGUUUUGCUCUGCCAAUUUGUUCACUCACUGAUUAACUAAACUCUUUUCAUAUGUGACAGAUGUUGGUUUUUAAUGGAGUAUUUGCCUGUUGUGUUGCACUUGAGACGAGUGUUAGGCAAUGUUUGUAUCAUAGUGUGUACAGGGUUUUCUCAACUGUUGCUUUGUUUCCAUGGAAACCACAAUUUUCAUGUUCCUGUGAUCUGAAUCUGCCUUGACAAUAAAUGUGAUCUUUUCA